CUCCGCCUGACCACCUCUCCAAAUUUAUGCAUCGGUGGCUCCGCAAACCUCUGGACAAGACGGUGCGCAACCGCCUUCGCUCCGAAUGUCCUCGCCCUUCACUCCCCGAUCAUGUGGCUCAGACACCCGAAUUCGACCAGGUCAUGACCACGUUCAUGUCUCGAGGCGGCCGUGACCCCCGAAGAGGCGUGGAAAAAGGAUUCCACGGAGUCCAGGACAAGUUGCUGGACUCCAUUGGCCCACUUGCCCGCAUCAUGUAUUUGGCGG